rnacentral:rRNA from 1 species
CCCUUAGAUGUUCUGGGCCGCACGCGUGCUACACUGAGUGGAUCAGCGGGUCAGGUUGCGCGAAAGUGUUUCCUAAUCUUGAAAUCCGCUCGUGAUGGGGAUUGACGGUUGCAAUUUUCCGUCAUGAACGAGGAAUACCUUGUAAGCGCGGGUCAUCAUCCCGCGCUGAAUACGUCCCUGCCCUUUGUACACACCGCCCGUCGCUCCUACCGAUUGAGUGGUCCGGUGAGGCUUUGGGAUCUGAGCGGAAAGAGCGUUUCGCUCGUUCUGCCCGGAAAACUCAGUCGAACCUUAUCAUUUAGAGGAAGGAGAAGUCGUANCA